AAAUGCGAUAAGUAAUGUGAAUUGCAGAAUUCCGUGAAUCAUCGAAUCUUUGAACGCACAUUGCGCCCUCUGGUAUUCCGGGGGGGCAUGUCUGUCCGAGCGUCAUUGCGAACCCCUCAAGCACGGCUUGUGUGAUGGGCCCUCCCGCGUCUUGGUCGUCAAGACGGGCCCGAAAAGCAGUGGCGGCUUCGCGGUUAUCCGAUCAGCCAGAGCGUAUGGGGACUUUCUCUCUGUCACACGCCCGCGGCGCGGACCGACGCCUGUCGACCUUUAUUCAUCUUUUUCUCGGUUGACCUCGGAUCAGGUAGGGAUACCCGCUGAACUUAAGC
rnacentral:misc_RNA from 1 species